GCUUGGCUUGGCUUGGCCUGGCCUGGCAUUGCCGCCCCCUGCAGGUGGUGAGGGGCAGAGCCUGCAGCAGCAGCAGCAGCUGGGGCUGUGGGUCAUUGCUGGCAUCCUGACCUUCCUGGCGUUGGAGAAGAUGUUCCUGGACAGCAAGGAGGAGGGGACCAGCCAGGCCCCCAACAAAGACCCCACUGCUGCUGCCGCCGCGCUCAAUGGAGGCCACUGUCUGGCCCAGCCGGCCGCAGAGCCCGGCCUCGGUGCCGUGGUCCGGAGUAUCAAAGUCAGUGGCUACCUCAACCUGCUGGCCAACACCAUCGACAACUUCACCCACGGGCUGGCUGUGGCUGCCAGCUUCCUUGUGAGCAAGAAGGUGAGGGGCUUGGGGCCAGUGGGGCUCUGGCGAUUCCAGUGGCAGCCAUGUGGAUCCCGCCUGUGUCUGGAGUCUCUGCUUCUUGCCCCUCCAUUCCCAGCGCCCUCAUCUAAGGCCCUCAUCCCCCAUCCUCCCUGCUGCUGUCCUGGCCGCCGCCGUUCUCUGAUCCUGAGCCCCUGGUCUGUUCCUGUUCU
rnacentral:sRNA from 1 species